rnacentral:rRNA from 1 species
UGCGUAGGCGGCUUUGCAAGUCAGAUGUGAAAUCUAUGGGCUCAACCCAUAAACUGCAUUUGAAACUGUAGAGCUUGAGUGAAGUAGAGGCAGGCGGAAUUCCCCGUGUAGCGGUGAAAUGCGUAGAGAUGGGGAGGAACACCAGUGGCGAAGGCGGCUUGCUGGACGAUAACUGACGCUGAGGCGCGAAAGCGUGGGAGCAAACA